rnacentral:rRNA from 1 species
CCUACGGGAGGCAGCAGUGAGGAAUAUUGGUCAAUGGGCGUAAGCCUGAACCAGCCAAGUCGCGUGAGGGAUGAAGGUUCUAUGGAUCGUAAACCUCUUUUAUAAGGGAAUAAAGUGUGGGACGUGUCCUGUUUUGUAUGUACCUUAUGAAUAAGGAUCGGCUAACUCCGUGCCAGCAGCCGCGGUAAUACGGAGGGUCCGAGCGUUAUCCGGAUUUAUUGGGUUUAAAGGGUGCGUAGGCGGCCUUUUAAGUCAGCGGUGAAAGUCUGUGGCUAAACCAUAGAAUUGCCGUUGAAACUGGAAGUCUUGAGUAUGUUUGAGGCAGGCGGAAUGCGUGGGGGAGCGGUGAAAUGCUUAGAUAGCACGCAGAACCCCGAUUGCGAAGGCAGCCUGCCAAGCCAUGACUGACGCUGAUGCACGAAAGCGUGGGGAUCAAACAGGAUUAGAUACCCCGGUAGUC